AGGACUGAAGAGAAAAUUAUCCCCAGCACUCAUGCAUGCUGUCCACUCAGUACCAAAAUGGGACAAACGCAAAAACCAUGGGGUCAAAUUGAAAACGCAAAAGAAAGAGCAAAGGGGGCGAAUUGAAAGCAAGUAGCAAAGUGGAAGGACCCGCAGCACAAAUAACUCAUAAGGCGUGAAAACACGCGGGUCAUGGCCUCCAUCUGGUCGGGUCGCGCGGGUCAUGGCCUAAACGGUGCCGUUUUGAGGCCAUUGACAUUGGCCUAAAACGACGUCGUCUGAUCAACGUACAAAAGCAAGAAGAAAGAAAAAAAAAGAAAAAUCAUUCUUUUAUCUCUUAAAAAAAAAUCAAAACACCCCCAAAUUCUCUUAAAACAAGUUUCAGAACCCCUUUUUUCUUCAAAACUUUCCAACCUCUCCUCCCUCUCAGUUGACUCGUGGGCUUCACCGAUGCCAAACGCGCCUCCACUCCGUCACGGUUCUGACCAGAUCCACAAGGAUCCGUCGACCAAGUCGUCCCCAAAAAAAGGUACGGAGGCACUAGAUGGCGUGUACGGAAGUGGUACGGUCGUGUCGAUGUGGAGAUGCAGACGAGGGCUGCUGCGAGGCUGUUGCGGCUCAAUAGGGUGACCUAGGGUUCCUGUUAGUGUUUUAAUUUUGGGCCAUUUGAGCCUUGUAUUUCUGGGCUGGUGCUUGGGUUGUAAUUAGGUUAAUUUGGGCCUUUUUGAUGUCUAAAUGGACUUGGACUGGAUUAUUUGGUUUUAUUUAUUUUAGCUUUAUUAUUUAUUUUUUGUUUGUAACGGGCCGGGAAAAUUUGGCCCACGACACCUUUUAUUUUAGUACUCUACUUUGUAGGCCAGAAAAUAACAAGAACAAAUAAACUGAUUUAAGUAA